rnacentral:rRNA from 1 species
CACGUAGGGUGCGAGCGUUGUCCGGAAUUAUUGGGCGUAAAGAGCUCGUAGGCGGUGUGUCGCGUCGGCCGUGAAAACCUGCAGCUUAACUGUGGGCGUGCGGUCGAUACGGGCAGACUAGAGUACUGCAGGGGAGACUGGAAUUCCUGGUGUAGCGGUGGAAUGCGCAGAUAUCAGGAGGAACACCGGUGGCGAAGGCGGGUCCCUGGGCAGUAACUGACACUGAGGAGCGAAAGCGUGGGGAGCGAACAGG